UCAGUUAAAGUAGGACGUGUCUUCUUAGGUGGAAUUCUUUUGGACUGGUAUUUCUUUGCCAUCAUGGCCUCUUUCUUUGGCGUCUUAGUUGUAAACUUGUUUUGGGAGUCAAGGAGGAUGGCAGAUUUGACUGAGUUGCAGAUGAAACUAUUGGCACUUCAUCUCCGUCUGAUGAGAUGCACAUGGAAUCUGAUGAUGGUAUCUUUAUAUCGGAGGUUGAUAUUAUUACGUCAUCACAGAAAUGGAAGUUGACAAGUGAGAUAGUACCAGUGCAAGGGCUUCUUCAGUUCUUCUUGCUGGUCCAAAUGGAAGUGGGAAAAGUUUGGUGUUUAUGGCUCUCCGUGGUCUUUGGCCUAUUAUCAGUGGACGCAAUGGUAAUCCUUCCCGCAAUGCUAAUGACGUGGGUGAAUUCAGUUGUGGUAUAUUAUACAUUCCUUGGAAACCUUAUAAGAUCAAAAUUUCUAUCAUCUCUCACAUGACUAGGCAGAAAAGAAGGUGGCUUUAAGGUAUCCAGUAGAAUUUGUACUCAGUGCCUUCUAUUAACAGUUGAAGCAUUUGCAGCUCCUAUCUACUCCAUUGAAAUUCACUUGCUCCGUGUAGAGUCAGUUAUGGUUGGGGAAAAGAUAGCGACAUAAACAUCUACAGUUCAGAGUUCAGACUACUCAGAUCUUUACUACUACGUUUCUGGGGUCAGAUCUUUACUACUACGUUCCUGGGGAGUCUUUGAAGCUAUGCAUCAACUAAAUGUUUGAAAUUAUUGGCAUUGGGAGUGGUUAAAUGAGGUACUGUCUUCAUUUAAAAGUUUAUCAUAUUUUUGGGGGAGUAAGACAGUAAGUCAGGAAAUCCUACUCGAGCCAACUUUGUUGACCUGGCAAGCAAACCCAGGACUCCACUAGUACCUCACAAAGCUGUGGAACCGGGAGAACCACGAGCCAUCCAUGAAUCUGCCAAUCUGGAUUAUUAAGCCGGGGCAGGUGGCCUUAAUAAAGGCACUAAUAAAGUAAUAAUUAAAUGGCCUAAAUGAGUAAAUGGACUAAACAGGUCGAACAGGUUAAAAGUUAUCUAAAGCGUAUCCAAGUGCCCGAAAGAGUAUCCAAAUGCCCAUAUGAAUAUCCCAAGUGGCUUUCUUAGAAUAAGCAACACUAUUAUGCUCUACUAUAGUUUCAGAUAGUUCACUGCAAUAUUCCUUCAAAGAACUAGCAAUUCUCCAUAAACUGCUGGAAAGGUUGAUUUUAACUGUUCCCCUAAUUCCCUUUGACUUUGUAAGUGUUGCUUUUGAACUAUACCCACCUGAGAUUUUGUAUAUGUAUGCUUCCAGCCAUCUCAUAGUAUCUCCCACUGCCCUUGUGAUGGCUAAAGUUUGUGUCAUUGUUUGCAAUCUUUUGUGCAGACCAUUCUCAGUUGAGUUCAAGGGGUUACUAUCCUUAUUACAUUUCAGAUUGAAUUGUACAACAUGCAGCAAAAAUCUGAUCUGAAAGUUUUAUGAAAAUGGGUACGUGUUGGUUUGUCAGCUUUCAUCAUUCGCUAUGUAUUCUAUAUCCUGAAUAUCUUGUUUUAAAAAUUUCUGGUUGAAAUGG